rnacentral:rRNA from 1 species
GCUAACUACGUGCCAGCAGCCGCGGUAAUACGUAGGGCGCAAGCGUUAUCCGGAAUUAUUGGGCGUAAAGAGCUCGUAGGCGGUUUGUCGCGUCUGCCGUGAAAGUCCGGGGCUCAACUCCGGAUCUGCGGUGAGUACGGGCAGACUAGAGCGAUGUAGGGGAGACUGGAAUUCCUGGUGUAGCGGUGAAAUGCGCAGAUAUCAGGAGGAACACCGAUGGCGAAGGCAGGUCUCUGGGCAUUAGCUGACGCUGAGGAGCGAAAGCAUGGGGAGCGAACAGGAUUAGAUACCCUGGUAGUCCAUGCCGCAAACGUUGGGCACUAGGUGUGGGGGACAUUCCACGUUUUCCGCGCCGUAGCUAACGCAUUAAGUGCCCCGCCUGGGGAGUACGGCCGCAAGGCUAAAACUCAAAGGAAUUGACGGGGGCCUGCACAAGCGGCGGAGCAUGCGGAUUAAUUCGAUGCAACGCGAAGAACCUUACCAAGGCUUGACAU